rnacentral:ncRNA from 23 species
CCGGCGGCCCGACACAUGCAGCCGAGUUGGCUGGCUCGGAAGGGGGACAGAGUUGACCAUGACAGCGAGUGUGGCCAAGGUGACAGCUGCACGCCCGGAGCCAAGCGCGGCGUGGGCUGAAGCCCGGCGGCGGGUACGCCAACGCCGCGAGGACAUGCUGCGCCAUCCUGCAUUUCUGUCCAAGCAGCUCCCUCCCGAACCAGCGCACGACGACGGCGUCGCGGCCGUCUACGACAUCGCGGUUGCGCGUCGGCGCCGACCCGCUUGAGCGGUCCCCGACGCGUCAACGUCGCGCCGGCUGCCCGGUAAACCGGCAAUCGACGACCGAGCCUUGGCGGGCGCGUCGCGCUC